UAAUUACAGGCCAAUAUCCUUGAUGAACUUGGAUGCAAAAAUUCUCAACAAGAUACUAGCAAAUUAAAUUCAACAGUAUAUUAAAAGAAUUAUGCACCAAGAUCAAGUUGGAUUCAUUCUUGGGCUACAGAGCUGUUCAAUAUUCACAAAUCAAUCAACAUGAUGCAUCACAUUAAGAGAAUAAAGGAUAAGAACUGUAUGAUUCUGUCAAUAGAUGUAGGAAAAGCAUUUGACAAAACACAGCAUCCAUUCUUGAU